rnacentral:rRNA from 1 species
GACGAAGGGGGCUAGCGUUGUUCGGACUUACUGGGCGUAAAGCGCGUGCAGGUGGUUGUCCAAGUUGGAUGUGAAAGCCUUGAGCUCAACUCAAGAAAUGCAUUCAGGACUGGGCGACUAGAGGACCGGAGAGGAUAGUGGAAUUCCCAGUGUAGUGGUGAAAUGCGUAGAGAUUGGGAAGAACACCAGUGGCGAAGGCGGCUAUCUGGACGGUUUCUGACACUAAGACGCGAAAGCUAGGGGAGCAAACGGG